rnacentral:rRNA from 1 species
GUUCAAGCAGCCGCGGUAAUACAGAGGGGGCAAGCGUUAUUCGGAAUUAUUGGGCGUAAAGGGCGCGUAGGCGGCCUGGCAAGUGGAAGGUGAAAUCCCUCGGCUUAACCGAGGAACUGCCUCCCAAACUGCUUGGCUUGAGACCAGGAGAGGUGAGUGGAAUUCCCAGUGUAGCGGUGAAAUGCGUAGAUAUUGGGAGGAACACCAGUGGCGAAGGCGGCUCACUGGACUGGUACUGACGCUGAGGCGCGAAAGCGUGGGGAGCAAACGGGAUUAGAAACCCCCGUAGUCC